GUCCUCCACCAAGCGCAGGCGGUACCGGAAGCGCAGCAGCUCGGCCAGCUCCCGCAGCAUGUCCACGCAGAAGCCCUCGAAGCGCUCGUUCCCGGACAGAGCCUGGAAGUUGGGCCGGCGCAUGACGAGGAAGCUGAGAACAGAGAGAAGAGACCCACCCUGGUCACCAAGUGUACAAACAGCUGGGCCAGGUCUAGAACAGAAGUGAAGGCUGGGAAAGAAGCAGAAAUCGACGUGUUGUGGUUCAAGCCUCCCUCAGGGCCCAGCUUUUGCAAACAUCCAGAUCUGGCCCGGUCCCUUCCGGUUUAACAGUCUCCAAGAUACAUGCCAGCCACUUCAGUUACGUCAGACUCUUUGCGACCCCAUGGACUGUAGCCCACCAGGCUCCUCUGUCCAUGGGAUUCUCCAGGCAAGAAUCCUGGAGUGAGUUGCUUUGCCCUCCUCAAGGGGAUCUUCCCAACCCAGGGAUCAAACCUGCAUCUCAUCCAUUACAGGCAGAUUCUUGACCACUGAGCCAGCAGGGCAACCCCCCCAAGGUACAGAGUGAGCAUGACUAAGCUCUUCAGAGGCUAGUCCCCACCUGUCACAGUGCUCACCACUCCUCCGUGUUCGCUGGGUGCCAGGCACCAUCCCAAGCCCUGGGGACCAGAGCGGGAAAUAAGACAGGUCCUGACAACUUUGUGCCCCUCCCGCCGGCGCCCAGGCUGACUCACGUCUGUGUCGCCAAGUGCCUGGCACAGGCCCUGCCCAGAAACAUGAGUCUGAGAAAGUUUGUGAACGAAGGGGCACACUAAGGCUGCUGCCUCCACAUCCAACCUGGCCAACACUUCCUGAGGCCCCUCCUCCUGGGAGUUCCCGCUGCCUGGGAGGCCAGGCCCCCUCCUCUGUGCACCCAACUCCUACACAGCUUCUAAAGCCCCAUCUAAUGCCACCUUCUCUGUGAAGCCUUCCUUCCUCAGGCUUUUGAAAGUUCAGGCAGCCCCUCCUUUCUGUGGGGCCCCCUUAUCACCCUGGCUGGGAAUGAUUGUGUCCAGGUCCACCUCCUUCAUCAGACUGGGAUCCCCUCCCCGGGGCCACUCGAGGACAGAGAGACCACAAGACCACCUGUGACUCAUCCCAGUG